CCUACGGGCGGCAGCAGUGAGGAAUAUUGGUCAAUGGGCUUACGCCUGAACCAGCCAAGUCGCGUGAGGGAAGACUGUCCUAUGGGUUGUAAACCUCUUUUGUCAGGGAGCAACGCCGGCUACGUGUAGACGGACUGAGAGUACCUGCAGCAAACGCAUCGGCUAACUCCGUGCCAGCCGCCGCGGUAAUACGGAGGAUGCGGGCGUUAUCCGGAUUUCUUGGGUUUACAGGGUGCGUAGGCGGAAUGCCCAGUCAGCGGUAAAAUCGCGAGGCUCAACCUCGGUCCGCCGUUGAAACGGGCGGUCUGUAGUGGGCGAGAAGUAUGCGGAAUGCGUGGUGUAGCGGUGAAAUGCAUAGAUAUCACGCAGAACUCCGAUUGCGAAGGCAGCAUACCGGCGCCCAACUGACGCUGAAGCACGAAAGCGUGGGUAUCGAACAGGAUUAGAGACCCGUGUAGUC
rnacentral:rRNA from 1 species